GAUGAACGCUGGCGGCGUGCCUAAUACAUGCAAGUCGAGCGAACAGACGAGGAGCUUGCUCCUCUGACGUUAGCGGCGGACGGGUGAGUAACACAUGGAUAACCUACCUAUAAGACUGGGAUAACUUCGGGAAACCGGAGCUAAUACCGGAUAAUAUAUUGAACCGCAUGGUUCAAUAGUGAAAGACGGUUUUGCUGUCACUUAUAGAUGGAUCCGCGCCGCAUUAGCUAGUUGGUAAGGUAACGGCUUACCAAGGCAACGAUGCGUAGCCGACCUGAGAGGGUGAUCGGCCCAACUGGAACGGAGAAACGGUCCAGACUCCUACGGGAGGCAGCAGUAGGGAAUCUUCCGCAAUGGGCGAAAGCCUGACGGAGCAACGCCGCGUGAGUGAUGAAGGUCUUCGGAUCGUAAAACUCUGUUAUUAGGGAAGAACAAAUGUGUAAGUAACUAUGCACGUCUUGACGGUACCUAAUCAGAAAGCCACGGCUAACUACGU
rnacentral:rRNA from 1 species